AUUGAACGCUGGCGGCAUGCCUUACACAUGCAAGUCGAACGGCGGCACGGGAGCUUGCUCCUGGUGGCGAGUGGCGAACGGGUGAGUAAUACAUCGGAACGUACCCUGAAGUGGGGGAUAACGUAGCGAAAGUUACGCUAAUACCGCAUAUUCUGUGAGCAGGAAAGAGGGGGAUCGCAAGACCUCUUGCUUUAGGAGCGGCCGAUGUCGGAUUAGCUAGUUGGUGAGGUAAAGGCUCACCAAGGCGACGAUCCGUAGCGGGUCUGAGAGGAUGAUCCGCCACACUGGGACUGAGACACGGCCCAGACUCCUACGGGAGGCAGCAGUGGGGAAUUUUGGACAAUGGGCGCAAGCCUGAUCCAGCCAUGCCGCGUGAGUGAAGAAGGCCUCGG
rnacentral:rRNA from 1 species